rnacentral:rRNA from 1 species
GAUGAACGCUGACAGAAUGCUUAACACAUGCAAGUCAACUUGAACUUCGGUUUGGGUGGCGGACGGGUGAGUAACGCGUAAAGAACUUGCCUCACAGAUAGGGACAACAUUUGGAAACGAAUGCUAAUACCUGAUAUUAUGAUUAUAUGGCAUCGUAUAAUUAUGAAAGCUAUAUGCGCUGUGAGAGAGCUUUGCGUCCCAUUAGCUAGUUGGAGAGGUAACGGCUCACCAAGGCGAUGAUGGGUAGCCGGCCUGAGAGGGUGAUCGGCCACAAGGGGACUGAGACACGGCCCUUACUCCUACGGGAGGCAGCAGUGGGGAAUAUUGGACAAUGGACCAAGAGUCUGAUCCAGCAAUUCUGUGUGCACGAUGAAGUUCUUCGGAAUGUAAAGUGCUUUCAGUUGUGAAGAAAAAAAUGACGGUACCAACAGAAGAAGUGACGGCUAAAUACGUG